AAAAAAGAAAAAAAAAGAAGAAAAAAGAAGAAAAAAGAAGGAAAAAAAGAAGAAAAAAAAAAGGAAAAAAAAAGAGAGUUAUAGAUCAUUCUUCUCAUUGUUGAUUAAUUUUGAAA
rnacentral:sRNA from 1 species